AAAUUGAAGAGUUUGAUCAUGGCUCAGAUUGAACGCUGGCGGCAGGCCUAACACAUGCAAGUCGAGCGGUAGCACAGAGAGCUUGCUCUCGGGUGACGAGCGGCGGACGGGUGAGUAAUGUCUGGGAAACUGCCUGAUGGAGGGGGAUAACUACUGGAAACGGUAGCUAAUACCGCAUAACGUCGCAAGACCAAAGUGGGGGACCUUCGGGCCUCAUGCCAUCAGAUGUGCCCAGAUGGGAUUAGCUAGUAGGUGGGGUAACGGCUCACCUAGGCGACGAUCCCUAGCUGGUCUGAGAGGAUGACCAGCCACACUGGAACUGAGACACGGUCCAGACUCCUACGGGAGGCAGCAGUGGGGAAUAUUGCACAAUGGGCGCAAGCCUGAUGCAGCCAUGCCGCGUGUGUGAAGAAGGCCUUCGGGUUGUAAAGCACUUUCAGCGGGGAGGAAGGCGAUAAGGUUAAUAACCUUGUCGAUUGACGUUACCCGCAGAAGAAGCACCGGCUAACUCCGUGCCAGCAGCCGCGGUAAUACGGAGGGUGCAAGCGUUAAUCGGAAUUACUGGGCGUAAAGCGCACGCAGGCGGUCUGUCAAGUCGGAUGUGAAAUCCCCGGGCUCAACCUGGGAACUGCAUUCGAAACUGGCAGGCUAGAGUCUUGUAGAGGGGGGUAGAAUUCCAGGUGUAGCGGUGAAAUGCGUAGAGAUCUGGAGGAAUACCGGUGGCGAAGGCGGCCCCCUGGACAAAGACUGACGCUCAGGUGCGAAAGCGUGGGGAGCAAACAGGAUUAGAUACCCUGGUAGUCCACGCCGUAAACGAUGUCGAUUUGGAGGUUGUGCCCUUGAGGCGUGGCUUCCGGAGCUAACGCGUUAAAUCGACCGCCUGGGGAGUACGGCCGCAAGGUUAAAACUCAAAUGAAUUGACGGGGCCCGCACAAGCGGUGGAGCAUGUGGUUUAAUUCGAUGCAACGCGAAGAACCUUACCUGGUCUUGACAUCCACAGAACUUUCCAGAGAUGGAUUGGUGCCUUCGGGAACUGUGAGACAGGUGCUGCAUGGCUGUCGUCAGCUCGUGUUGUGAAAUGUUGGGUUAAGUCCCGCAACGAGCGCAACCCUUAUCCUUUGUUGCCAGCGGUUAGGCCGGGAACUCAAAGGAGACUGCCAGUGAUAAACUGGAGGAAGGUGGGGAUGACGUCAAGUCAUCAUGGCCCCUUACGACCGGGGCUACACACGUGCUACAAUGGCAUAUACAAAGAGAAGCGACCUCGCGAGAGCAAGCGGACCUCAUAAAGUAUGUCGUAGUCCGGAUUGAGUCUGCAACUCGACUCCAUGAAGUCGGAAUCGCUAGUAAUCGUAGAUCAGAAUGCUACGGUGAAUACGUUCCCGGGCCUUGUACACACCGCCCGUCACACCAUGGGAGUGGGUUGCAAAAGAAGUAGGUAGCUUAACCUUCGGGAGGGCGCUUACCACUUUGUGAUUCAUGACUGGGGUGAAGUCGUAACAAGGUAACCGUAGGGGAACCUGCGGUUGGAUCACCUCCUUACCUUAAAGAA
rnacentral:rRNA from 1 species